rnacentral:rRNA from 1 species
AAGACACAAAGGCAGAGUACGUUAAAACCCCUCGAUAAGGAGAACUAAACAAAGUAAUUACUGCCCUCCUGUCUUUGGUUGGGGCGACCGCGGGGGAACAACAAACCCCCACGUGGAACGGGGACCACCCCUAAUGCCAGAGCCACAGCUCUAACAAGCAGAACAUCUGACCAGCAAGAUCCGGCAAAGCCGAUCAACGGACCGAGUUACCCU